rnacentral:rRNA from 1 species
UACGUAGGGGGCCAGCGUUGUCCGGAAUCAUUGGGCGUAAAGCGCGCGUAGGCGGCCAGAUAAGUCCGGUGUGAAAGUCAAAGGCUCAACCUUUGAAUGCCGCUGGAAACUGCCUGGCUUGAGUCCGGAAGGGGCGAGUGGAAUUCCUAGUGUAGAGGUGAAAUUCGUAGAUAUUAGGAAGAACACCAGUGGCGAAGGCGGCUCACUGGCCCGGUACUGACGCUGAGGCGCGAAAGCGUGGGUAGCAAACAGG